UGGGGAAUAUUGGGCAAUGGGGCGCAAGCCUGACCCAGCAACGCCGCGUGAGGGAAGAAGGUUUUCGGAUUGUAAACCUCUGUCCUAGGUGAAGAGAAGAAGACGGUAGCCUGGGAGGAAGCUCCGGCUAACUACGUGCCAGCAGCCGCGGUAAUACGUAGGGAGCGAGCGUUGUCCGGAAUGAUUGGGCGUAAAGGGCGCGUAGGCGGCCUGUUAAGUCUGGAGUGAAAGUCCUGCUUUUAAGGUGGGAAUUGCUUUGGAUACUGAUGGGCUUGAGUGCAGGAGAGGUUAUCGGAAUUCCCAGUGUAGCGGUGAAAUGCGUAGAUAUUAGGAGGAACACCAGUGGCGAAGGCGGCUUUCUGGACUGACACUGA
rnacentral:rRNA from 1 species